rnacentral:rRNA from 1 species
GACGAACGCUGGCGGCGUGCUUAACACAUGCAAGUCGAACGGAAAGGCCCCUUUGGGGGUACUCGAGUGGCGAACGGGUGAGUAACACGUGAGUAACCUGCCCUUGACUUCGGGAUAACUUCAGGAAACUGGGGCUAAUACCGGAUAGGAAUCCUUGCUGCAUGGUGGGGGUUGGAAAGCUUCGGCGGUUUUGGAUGGACUCGCGGCGUAUCAGCUUGUUGGUGGGGUAGUGGCUUACCAAGGCGUUGACGGGUAGCCGGCCUGAGAGGGCGACCGGCCACAUUGGGACUGAGAUACGGCCCAGACUCCUACGGGAGGCAGCAGGGGGGAAGAUUGCACAAUGGGCGGAAGCCUGAUGCAGCAACGCCGCGUGCGGGAUGACGGCCUUCGGGUUGUAAACCGCUUUCAGCAGGGGCGAAGCUUGUGGUGACGGUACCUGCAGAAGAAGCACCGGCUAACUACGUG